GUGGGCGCCAUCGCGCUGGCCAGCCGGCGCGGGAAGCGCUCGGUGGAGGUGCCGGCGCGCCGCGAGGCCGUCGUCUGGGACCUGGUGAGCGCCACCGACCAGCUCGGCUGCGCGCUCAAGUUCGUCUGUCUGAUCCAGGCGCGGCCCGAGGAGGAGCUCAGUGAGGAAGAGGCCAUGGUGUCGGCGCUGUUCGGCCGGGAGCUGGACGGGGUCGACUUUGAGAAGAUGCAGACGAGCAAGGGGGCCUACUGGUACGCCGCCUUCAUGGGCGAGAGAUUCGGCGCCGACUCGUGUAACAAGCUCUUCAGCAGCUGUCCGCACCAGAUGGCCUCCAUGCUGGAGUACUUCAGCGGCCUGCAGGCCGAGUCAGUCUAGUCCGGCGGUCAACGCCAGGUGCAAUUAACUCAGAAUAGGUGCAUACAUCGCUCACCACCUACCUAUACAUAUGCUACGCAUGCCACCAUAGACUACUGUAUUGCCUACUGAUAUAGUGUGGCCUAUGGUGCCACGUAUGCCGAAACUCUAGGUACUGCGUAUUUUAGGUCUAACGGUGUCGUAAGGCGAAAACUAUAAAAGUAUUAUAGUUACUUUUCAUGAGCCUAUACAUUAGUAGAUCCUACAGGUAUAUGUAUGUAUAUGUGCCUCUUGUAGGUAUACUCGUAUGUGCGUCUCGGCAGUUCUAGUCAAAUUUUAAAUGAGCGCGCUUACAAAUUACAAUCUCUUUUUUGUAAAUAUCUGUAAAUCUGUAAUCCCUUUUUGUCGUGAACUGUAUGGAAUCCUGCAUGAUAGUGUAUUGCUGAACUUCUUUGGGAUGCAAAAUAUACAAAUUGUAAUAAG
rnacentral:lncRNA from 1 species